rnacentral:rRNA from 1 species
GAUGAACGCUGGCGGCGUGCUUAACACAUGCAAGUCGAACGGAAAGGCCACAGCUUGCUGUGGUACUCGAGUGGCGAACGGGUGAGUAACACGUGGGUGAUCUGCCCUGUACUUCGGGAUAAGCUUGGGAAACUGGGUCUAAUACCGGAUAGGAAUCACAUGUGGGUGUGUGGUUGGAAAGCUUUUGCGGUAUGGGAUGAGCUCGCGGCCUAUCAGCUUGUUGGUGGGGUAAUGGCCUACCAAGGCGUCGACGGGUAGCCGGCCUGAGAGGGUGUACGGCCACAUUGGGACUGAGGUACGGCCCAGACUCCUACGGGGGGCAGCAGUGGGGAAUAUUGCACAAUGGGCGCAAGCCUGAUGCAGCGACGCCGCGUGGGGGAUGACGGCCUUCGGGUUGUAAACUCCUUUCGUCAGGGACGAAGCGAAAGUGACGGUACCUGGAUAAGAAGCACCGGCUAACUACGUG